UACGAAGGGAGCUAGCGUUGUUCGGAAUCACUGGGCGUAAAGCGCACGUAGGCGGAUUUGCCAGUCAGGGGUGAAAUCCCGGGGCUCAACCUCGGAACUGCCUUUGAUACAGCAAGUCUUGAGUUCGAGAGAGGUGGGUGGAAUUCCUAGUGUAGAGGUGAAAUUCGUAGAUAUUAGGAAGAACACCGGUGGCGAAGGCGGCCCUCUGGACGGUGACUGACGCUGAGACGCGAAAGCGUGGGGAGCAAACAGG
rnacentral:rRNA from 1 species